AACCUUAACUAUGUGAGAGGGUACCUUCCCCUCCAGAGGCCGGAGCCAAAGCUCCUGACCCUUUCUGGGGAGCCCGGUCAGCUCCGCACCCCACAGUACAGUCCCUCCUUCAGGAAGAGGAGGGGCUGUUGGUCUUAGGGGAGUGACCCUAAGGUAAAAGCACGCGGGGUUAGUGUGACCUGCUCACCCACUUUUUCCAUGGCCCCAUGUUUCCCCUUUUUAGCCAGGGAGGGAUGCCUAAGUGGAUAAAAGUAGAAAACAAUUUAGAGGACAUGAAAUAAUGGAUGUCAUUGAUGAAGAAAAGAGGUAACAAAACUAGAACUAUUUGCCUGUGUGUUCUGGGGUUUUUUUUUUGAAAGCUUGGAGAAAUGGUCCUGUCCAACCAGGUCUAUCUAAAACCUUCACAGUUACAGCCGUCCCGAGGCGAAGAGGCACGGAGGGCUCAGGAGGGCCAGCCUCUCCCAACCGUCUCUGGUGAAAUCUGCCACACCCGGGAAGACAUGCUUCGUGGAAGGGUGGAGGCUGGGAAAAAUUCUUUCUUUGUACCCCAGGUGCUCUGAACAGCCUGUUCUAACCUUGUGAAAAUGACCGACACCCCUGCUAUUGUGUGAUAAGGCUGCACAAACACUGCCUGACGAGGGUCAGUGCCGGAGCCGCUUACUAAUAGGAGGCAGCCGGGGACACUGCAGCCCGGUGACAUCUGCGGAGAGUUGAACUCUCCCUUCAGCAAUUAGUGCUGACUCACCUCAUGCAACUUUCCAAAGAGCCAACUUUAAAAAUAAAAAAAAGCUCCAAACUUUUUAUUAUAGAUAACCAAAAAGAUACAAAAGUAGAAUCAUGUAACGGACCCCCCCAUAUACCUAUCAUCGCUCAGCUUCAACAAUUAGGAACCCCAAACCAACACUAAGCCAUUUUAAAGGAACCAAAUGAAUGUUUUAAAAUAUAUGCAUAAGGAGAUUGCACAAUGAAAUAGCAUAAAGACCCAGGAAAAGCAGACGGCAAGUAUGUUCUCUCAAGCAGUGCUUUGGAGUUAGAGUUUUCGAGCAUCAUAGUAGCACAGCCAUUGGAAUAUGGAUAUUAGAAUCCCAGCCCUGGUACACUUGGCCUUGGGUAAGAUCGGUAACCUCACUAGGCCUCAUGUCCUUCACCUCUUAAAAUGCAGCAGUAAUAACCUCUUACAGGCUUAAAGUGAGAUCUAAACAGGGUACAUAAAAAAUAAGCUCUCGGGAAGUGGGUGGCUGCUAUUAUUACAGGCCUUGCUGUUGUGGCUGUUAUAGUCCUACCCCAGAGCCAGCGGUAUGUGAGCACACGAGUAGUGUUUCUCAGGAAUGGGGCACAUGCCAGUGCUCGGGCAGAGAGAACUUCCUCUGGAAACUUCCUCACUUAGGGUAUAAUAUAGAGACCCUUGGGCUAUGUAAUGGGCGAGGGAAAUUUUAAUUUGUCGGGUUGGCUCCCUUAGUGGAAAGGUUAUCAGUGAUCUCACAGUAACUUGUAAUUGGAUUUACUGGCUACCUAUCAGGGGAAAGCUAGUUUCUACCAAGAAACCAUUAAACACCUAGUUGAGAAAGGGUCUCUGUGGCUUUCCACACAGCGUCUCGUUCUUUGCCAUGUCAUUUUCUAGGUUUUUGUCUGUUGUGCACAAUUACUGCGUUAUCUCUAGUUCACCUUUGAUUUUCAUCGCUUCCUCCUUUUCCACCUCUUGCUGUGUUUUGUCUCCUGUGUCUCAACAGGAGACCUCUGAGGCUUUUAUGUAUCAGGAGGGGCAAGUAGAUGGAAGAAAUAGAUCAUCCAUGGAGAAAAACUCUACUGGAUAAAAUAAAUAAGUGCGGCCUGACUUGGGGAGUGGAAAGCACACUCCCAUUUUGCUGGCGUGUUUUUCUUUUCUGCAAGCUGAUGGCUUGGUGGGAAAGGGAAGCCAACCAGAAGAACCUGAUCGAAUUACUUUCGUGCAGCAGGCUGUGUGGGAGAAGGUUGGAGUCUGGUUUUUGUGCCUCACUGUUGGCCAGACACUGUAAUUUUAAACUGUGAGAGUGGGCAGUCACUGUGACAGGCCAAGGCUCUUGCGUUCUGUCUGGUCAGGAAUCUGAUCGGGUUGAUCCACUAAGGUCCUUUUGAGGCAUCAGCAGUUAAUUUCUGAACAAAUAAUGACCUGCCCCUGGGAUAGUGAAAUAGUAGUUAGAAUGGCUGCUGUUUACUGAGCAUUAUGUGCCAUACAGCAAGCUCACUGAACACAGUCUCAAUUUCCCAGAAUAACCCCAUGAUAUGGGUGGUGGCAUUUCCAUUUUGCAAAGGAGAGAGAAUUAAGAUUGUAUAGUUUUAGUAAUUUUUCCACAAUCAAAUAGUAAAUGACAAAGUUGGAAUUUGAAUUAACAUCAAAUUAACAUCUUCAUUGACUAGAGUCUGAUCUUGACGACUCCUAUAUUUUGCUUUGCCCACCAUCCUCAGCCCAGACACUAUGAUCUGUAAUUAUAUUUGGAGUUGUAUUUACCAUAAUGGUAAUGGAUUGUUUUAAUUUAUUGAGAUUAUUUAGGCCUAGGUUAUAGGCAGAGAUUGGCAUAGAAUUGAGUGGAAUUUAGUCACCAUUUAUGCAGACUUGGGUCUUCUUUUGUGUCUGAUUGUGGAGCUCAUGCUAUAAUGCACAUGCCUCCAACCCUCCCCCGAGUCCCCUUGCACUCCAUAUCCCAUUUUCCUAUGGUAAAUGCUACGAGAAUGUUCGUAGGAUAUUUGUUCUACCAUCUCAAACUGCAUGUACAUCUCAAGACACUUGGCAGAUAAAUUAUUUGGUUUGUGGGCGGCCAGAAAAAAUUGAUAAUGUUUUUUUAACACGGACUGGAGUGACAGUUUGGUAACCGGCUCUCUGAGAGAGCUUUCAUGUGUUCAAAAAAUUGGCAGCUAGCUCUCGAGUGAGCUAAUUAGUUAGGAACGAUUUUCAUCCUCAGUACCUUGAAUAGCCUACCCUUGGAGACAAGACAGAUAAUGAGCACCUGGAAAUCAGUAGUGCUGCAACUUGACCUUAAUGUAGUUUGGGGGAAAUAAGAAGGGUGAGUCAUGAUCUGUUAUUGAAGAUCAUUCUUUUAAAAGGCGUUGUGAAGGAUUUGACAAAUAAUGAUUGCUCCUGUAUAGGAACUAUCGUAAUCAAAGAAGCAGAAAACAGGAAAGAAAACUUAAUGUGACUAAGCAGUGUUUAAUUUGUUUGAAACUGGCUCUACCACCCUGGUUGUAGAGAGAGAAUGCUUUAUGCAGUCUUCACAGAGCAAGAAGUCCAGCUUGCACCAGGGCGUAAUAGAGACACCCAUGCCUGAUACCACGGAAAUGGAGUCCACCAAUGCUUCUCUUUAUGUGCUUUCUCAAGGUAAGUCAUCAGUGAGGCUUUACUGCUUGCAAAAAGCUGUCCAACAGCCCUGUGGCACAGCACUCAUUGAGCAACUAAAGGCAAUGGGCUCUCCAGGGGCACAGUUUGUUCCUGUCUAGCCCCCAAGGGUCCCGUGUUCCCGUUCAGGCACCAGCGGCUGCUUCCUGCCCUUCCUCACCUGUAGGUGUGAGGGCUUGUUUAUUUAAACCUCAGCCCUUGCUGCUUGGAAAAACAAAACAACACACUUACUUGUCUGGGCAUUGAAUGUUCUUCCUGAAUUUUUGUCCUGCCCAUGGGCCUGGAGGCAUAAUGGGUGGAGCGAGUUUCGGCAUUCGUUUGGGAAGUUUCGAGAAGGGCUGUGGGCUGGGUUUGUUAGGUUGGGUUGCUCUUGAUUUUAAUAAUUUGUUAGAAUGUCUGAGGGUCAAGGAGCAGUGCUGUAGAUGGCUAUGGGAAUUGCUAUGAUCUGGCUGUGCCUCUCUCUCACAUGAGGACAGAUGCACCUGAGGAGGCAUUUUAUAGGGUCCUGACAGAUGUUAAGUAACCCCAUCCAUAUUGUGUUCUCACCUGGACACUGUAAGAUGCGCACUGUAAAAAAAAAAAAAAAGAAAAGGUUAGAUGAGAUGCCUGCUUGAUACUGACUUCUCCACAUCAGUGGCUGCCAGUCUUCAUCUCCUGCUUUCUGAUUCCCGGGCUGCUGUGUUGAUGUCCACCCCCAGAGUAAAGAACGCUGGACCUCUUUGCUUCUUUUCUAAGAUACUUCCUUGUGAUGCUCUAAACUCUUCCUGGCCCCGGCGUCACCUGGGGCUGACGUCAAGUACACUACGUGUAGGAUGACCUCAGUGAGCAAGUCACUCACCUGGCCCUGUCUUUCCUCCCAGUAUGUGGGUGUUGCCAUGGUAUCUUUAAGAAGCACUUUCCUGUCUUUGGAGCUGUUAAUGAACUUUUAUAUUCUCAGUACCAGGCAGGGAGUGGAGAUGGGCAAGAAUAUCAUUUCACUACUUGAAUUAAUCCACAGGAAUUAGCAUGUUGGCGAACUCUUGGCUACUGGAGUCAGCAGCAGUGGCGAAAGAAAUCCCUGGAAGGUUUUCAUGAGCAGUGGAAGAAGCUACACACGAAGGGAAGAUUUUGGCAGUGGCCAACGGGAAGAGGAUGAUUUCUCUGAUUUCUGCUUCCAGCAGUUUUGGCUUAGGUUCCAGCGAUAUCUCUGGAGACACUCAAGUUACUUACAUCCCUCAAGUGACAAGCAAAUAUAGCAAUCCUUAAACGUAAAGCAAUCCUUUCAGAACUAUGUUGCCAUCUUGCCACUAGAAGCAUCCUCGUAGAUGGUAAACAGCCUCAUUGGGUAUUUGUGUAAAAAUGUAAUGUGUGCAUGUAUAUGCACACACAUGUGUGCACUGUGAUGUGUGAGUGUAAAUACACAGUGUAUAGGUUGCAAUUGAUUUCUCUAAAUACCCACAUAUUUGGAAACUACUUAUUUUUUUCAGUCUCCAAAAAUGAAAUUGUCUUAGUCUGAUAGUGUAAUAUGGAGAAGUUUAUCUUGCAUUCUCUCUUAAGGGAGGUUAUUGGAGUUUUGUCUUCACUUAUACACAAAGUGCAACGCAUCUUUAUCACUUUGCAAGCAUCUGUCUAAUUUGGAGAUGGCAAGGGCAGAACUGUCUCAGGAGACAGUGGCUGUCUUUGUCUGAGGUCUGUUACUGACUGGCUGAGUGUCCCGAGGUAAGUGGCUUAAUUGCUCUGGAUUUCAGCCUCUAAAUUGCUGAGACUUAGAUCCAUAUGGUAUCUAAGUCAUCUUUGUCACCCUUAAGUUUCAUAAGUCAUUACUGAAUCUGGAGGAAACAGGAUCUUUCUUGCAAGGGUUUCAAAUUCUAGAAUUGCCAAUUAUUUGGAGGAGCAAUAUAUAUAUAUAUAUAUAUAUAUAUAUAUAUUUAAACAGAGACCAUCAUUACAUUAAUGAGUUUCAUAAAAAUUGAGUAAUCUGUGCAUGGGCUGAUUUGCGUGGUUGCUUCAUAUCUGUUGUGGUUAUUUUCUCUUCUUUCAUAGGGAAUAAGCUCUUGUCAUAAGUUUUUAGGUCUCUUAGAAAAAUACUGACUUAACCACAAGGAAGAGAAUAAAGGAGAGAAUAACUGUAAUUACAUCUUUAUUAAGUUCUUAGUGACCAGAAAUGAGAGAGGGAGAGAGAGGAAAAGUGAGAGGGACCAUUUUUACUGCUGGAAUGAAACUAAAUUUUUUUGUUGAUUUUAUAAUUUAAAAAAAAAAAAGACCUUUUCAAGUUUUCUUGUGAGUGGAGUUUUUACAGUUACUUGAAGGAUUUGAACUGAAACAUAAUUACCCACUGUGGAAAAGGUUAAUUUAUAUGGAACAGAAACUGAAGAAAUCAAGGAAGAGAGGAAUGCAUGGAUAGGAGAUUCAAGGAGAGGUGGGAGCUAUUGGUUGGUUUUAAAAAUGAUAAGAAUUUUAAUAUCAAUCAGAUCUUGUAUAUUAUAAUGAAGCUGGCUGGAGGUUUUGGGACAAGCCGUAUUAUACUUUUCCAUUAGUUUAAGAUUUUAUAAGCUUUUUGGAAAACAGUUUGAUAGUAUGCAUCAAUAACUUAAAAAGUUCAUCACAUUUGACCUAAUAAUUCUACUUCUGGAAAUCUAAGGAAAAAUCGUUAAGAAAAUGGAGAAAGAUUUAUGUUCAAAAGAUGUUUAUUGUUAGUCUAUUUUGAAUAUCAACCAGUCCCGUGAUGGUUUUCUUCCUUCCCUGGCUGGAUUCUACCAUCUUGUAUUUCAGUCAUUCCCUUGCAAAUACCUUCAUUCCUCCUGUCUGCCUGUCUCCCGUCUCACGCGUCUGGUUAACCCCGACACUGAACGAACCCAGCUUUCUCUUUACUCGCUAUCUGUGCCUAGCCUUGCUGGUGAGAGUGACAAUUAGGCAGAAUAGUAGCCCUACACACUGAUGAUUACCAACCCCAAUACUAUUAGAGUGCUUGAUCUCUUUGCCAAAUACAGUUUCUAUUCCUCUUGGCAAACCUAAGGGCCAACAUUCAUUUUUUUUUUUUUCAUGAAACACCCUGAACCUUCCUUUGGUUUCUGGGCCUCAUGGUUUCUUUGUUUCCUCCUGCCUCUCUGGUGUUGGCAUCUCCUUCUCUGUGACAUGUAGGCUUCCACUUCUUUAGACCUCAGCCUUUGGGCUUUCCUCUCAGUGACUGUAAAUGUGAAGCCUCUUGGCUUCAAAUGCAGCCUGUAUAAUGCUGACAAACCAAAUGUGUACCUCCAGCCCCACCCUCUCUCCAGAGCCUCAACUACCAGUAUUCAAAUACCUACCUGACAAAGCCACUUGGCAGGUCGCUAGCAUCACAGACUCUUGACGUCCACUUCCCACCUGCUUCCUUUUUAAGGAACUGCCAUUCUGCAUAAAGAAAAUUACUUCCUUAGUAUUUUGGUAAAUUUCCUUCUAGGUAAAUUAUAGCUAUUUGCAUAGCUAUAAUUUAAUAUAUGCAUAAUAUUUAUAUGUAAUAUAUUUAUUAUUUAAUAAUUUAUAAUAUAAUAAAAACACAAGUGUUAGAAAAUAAAACCAAACUACUUAGCCAGAAAAUCUGAGAACUUUCUUAUCCAAAUCCAUGGCAUGGGUUUUUUUGUAGAGUUCGUUAGGCUUCUAGUUUAAUAAGUGCAAAUGUUAGAAAAUACAGAACAGGGAACACUAUUUUUUAAGAGCUAAUAGUGUACCUAGUGGUAAUUUGAAUAUCAUUUUUAAAGAGUAAGAACCCUUGCCAGUUUCCAAGGCUUUUACAUCUAACUAUCAUUUAGACAAACAGAAAGCACACCACAUGUGAAAAUGGUUAUUUCUCAGCAGAAUAGAUUCACAGAUAUUCCCAUUUGCAGAAAUUCACCAGGGGUCAGAAGCAUUAGCACAGACAUUCCACUUAUGUAUAUAUAUAUUUAAAACAUCCUAAGGCUUACAGGAAAAAUAGCUGCCUCUAUUUCGUGUGGUUGUCCUAAGGGAAAAGUAGUGCUGAUAUGUGAACAUUAACAACAUAGAUUCACUUAAAAAAAGUAGAUCAGCUGGAAAUUGUGAGCCCAAAACAAUUUUCUAGCUCAGUGGUUCUCAGCUUUUCAGAGUAGGAGGAGACCUUUUUAACAUCUAAAAAGAGUUACAAUCAUCUCCUUCCUGAAAAACAAAGCAAAAAUAAACAAAACCUCCCCCAAAACCAUGGUAGCCCUUAUGUUUUCAUUCCUUUCAACUGAAUAAAGUGACAAAGUGACAAAGAAAUUACCGUAAACUUGGUAAUUCUUUAAGAAAGUUUUGUAUCCCUUUUUCUCCUUUCCCUUGAUUUUCUUCUGUAUCCAAAAUCACUUUUUAGUUACAUAUAUGUUUUGAUAUGUCCCUCAAUUUCUCUGUUGGAAAAAUGACUCAAUUCUUUAGUAUAGGUACUAAACAAGAAAAUUAGUGUUUUUUUAUUGGUCAUUUUUAAAAAUUAUGAAUAGUGUAUAUUUAAACUAUUAAAAGCUACAUGUGCACAUAGUUUAAGAAGUCAGACAAUUUUACAGGGCUUGCACUAUAAACAACAGUCCACUGGGCAUCUCCAUCCUUCCGAAUUUCCACCCCUCAGCAACAACCACUUGUAACCAAUUGAGCUGUUUCUUUUGAUAUUUAUUUCCACAUGUCUAUAUAGUAGAUUUAUGUUGUUGCUUCUUUCAAUACCACUUUAUUAUUACUAAACUUUUACAGCUUUAGUCAUAGGUAGUGACUCGUACCCUUGAUUCUCUUUUGACCUACUGUACAUUUACUUCCUGUUUCCUCCCUCCCUCCUAAUGCAGUGAUAGCAGACUUUUGGUUAGAUCAAUAUUUAAUAUUAUUUUGCAUAUAAAAGUGCUGUUUUACAGAUAAGGCAAGUGGCAUACUAUGGUUACUUUUCUGUCUUAUAAAUGUUUGAUUUUCCUUGGAGUUAAUAAUUGCUUGCUUUGUUCUGUUAUGUGCUUGUCACCUUUUCAAUCCCAAACUCUGUCAGCUGUUAAUAUUUAACCAGCCAAAUUAAGUUCUAUCUAGUCAUCUUCUUGAAGGAUCCCCCUGGUGCUUUUCAAUGUGCUCUGAAGUCUCCAAGGUGCUCUCAGGACCUGCCCCAAUUGUUUCCUUAGGAGCUCCCUAUACCUUUUUUUUCUUUUGGUUCCCUUGUCUUCCUUUUUCUUGGUUUACUUCUUUAUUUUGGGGGAGCAUAUCCUUUGGUAGUUUUCUGAAGAAGGUGUACCUGAGAAAAAGUUUUUCAGGCUUACAUCAUCAGAAAACAUUUUUUAUUUCAUUCUUUUAAUCAGUAGUUUGGGUAUAUAAUUCUAGAUUGGAUAUCUUUUUCCCUCAUAAUUUUGACCUCUAGUUUCCAGUGUGUCUGUUGGAUGACCCAAAGCCAUUCUGAUUCUUGACCUUCUGUAAGAAAAGAAACUGUUGAAGCUUUUAGGAUCUCUAUUUUCCUGUUGUUCUAAAUUUCACAAAUUUCAUAUAAGUCUACAGUCAUCUUAUAUAUUAGGACUUUGUGGAUGUUUCAAUGUGAAAACUAAUUUCCUUCAAUUAUAGGGAAUUUCAAAAAUUAUUAUCUUGAUUAUUUAAUCUCUUUUUCUGUGUUCUCUCUUUCUGGAUUUUCUAUUAUUUGGGUAUUUGACCUGGACUUCUCUAAUUUGUUUUUGUUUUUAUUUUUUUCAUUUCUAUGUCCCAUCUUUUGUCUUUUGUUUACUUUUUUCUUUCCUCUACUAAGUCUUUCAUUUCCAUUAUCAGAGUUUUGAUUUCUCAGAGCUCCUUUUUGUUCUCUGAAUAUUUUUUAUAAUGUCCUAUUCUUACUUUACAGAUGCAAUAUGUGUUUUUUGUAUUUUUGAAGAUAUUAAUGAUAUUUUCUGAAGAUUUUUAUGUCUUCCUGCAUUGUAUCUGUCUCCUAUUAGUUACUUUCUUCUUGUUUUUUGCUCUAGUCUCUGCCUUUCCCAUGAAAUACUUUUCCUCAAGUGUUUAGUGAUCUUUAUAUGUCUUUUCAUUUUUAAGUGGGACUUUAAAAAGCUGGCCCAAAGCUCUGUGCCUAUAACUAGGGCUGAUUGCCAUGGUCUGUCCUGUAAGGCCGUAUGGUCAUGUCAGUAUUUUUAGAAUAUUUAUCUUGGGCUUGUAUAAAUUUCCAGAGUAGUUACCUCUAAUUUUCUUCCUGGGAUGUCUGUACCCAGUUUCUGGACUCCUGGAGGGGGCAUCUCAAAUUCUGUAUAAAUUUUCACAUUAAGCAAUUCUACCUAUAUGGUUAUGUAACAUAAUUUUUCUUAGGUUCUUUAAAUAUACGGAAAAAAACUGCAAGCUCUGGGGGAAAUUUUAUAAUCACCCUGCAAAAGCAGGAGGGACUCACACUCGAAGUUUGGUUUGGAUGUUGAGACUAAUGAUGCCAUACACAUACCAAAAGAUAUGAAAAUGUUUGUUACUUACAUAGAAAGGGAUUUCUGGGAGAGAGCAGGACAGGUCUCCAACGAAAGGCCAAAAUGCCUUGAGAUAGUGAGAAGGGAGGCUGGCAUGGGUUGUAUUGUGGUUGGGAGUUAGGCUGGGUUGGGAGUUUAUGUGAAAAGAGGCUUACGUGCUUUGAAUCGCCCACUUAUGCCAAAGCAGGGAGCAUCCAAUCUUUCUUAUCAACUUGCUCAGAGGCUGGCACAGGGGAACGGGAUGGGGUGAGGUGUGUGAGCUGCCCACAGUCAAACAUUAUUAGAUGGAGUCAGAAUUCUCCUCCCAGAAAUACUGUGAGUAGAGGGCAGAACAAAUCUUUUAAGGAUGGCUGCCAUUUACAGAAAAUGGUACAAGAGGAGAUUGUCUUACCAGAUCCAUGAUAGAGAACAAACUUUAAUUUAAAAGUUCAGGUCUGCCUUUGUGUGACUAGUGAUGAGGCCAGGAGUCCAUAGGUAAUUUGACAGUUAAGAAAACUUGCUUUAAAGACUUGUUAUAAAACAGUGAUUUUCAAAGUGUGGUGGAUUACCACCAGCAGUAGCAUCUCCUGGGGAUUAGUCACAAAUGAGGAUCCUCAGCACCCAUCUCAGACCCGCUGAAUCUGACACUCUGGGGAGGCCCUGCCCUGCAGUCUCUGUUUUAACAGGCCCUCCAGGUGAUGCUAACAAGCCGUGCAAUUUGAGAACCACAGAUGCAGAGUACACAAGUUAAGACAAGUCUGGGAAGGAGCUGGAGAACUAAAUGCACAGCAUAAUGAAGAAAUAGGACAUUUUAAUUUUCUACUGGCAGGUGGGAAAAACAGGUCACUGUCCUUGAGGAUAGCGGGCAGAGGGGAAGUUUCUGCAGAGCAGGGAGGUGCCCAGUCACCUGGCAGAAGGCGAGGGUCCGGGGAGAAGAGAGUUGGUGAAAAUUUCCAGGAGGUGGAGAUGACCAAAGAACGCUUAAGGAUGGUGAUGUGUGAUAGUCUGUUGUAGGUUUUCUAUACUGUAAUAAUCCUCCCUCAGUCACAGGUCUUCAGGAGUCAGUUACACACAACCAGCUUGUAUGGUGCAGUGGAAAAUGAAGGAAAAAAUCCACCAUUACUCUGUGUAGAGAGAGUACAUAUUUUUUAUUUUUCCUUAGCUGUGUAGUCAGUAUUCACUGACUGACGGGCUAAAUAAAUGAAGUGUCUAAGCAUUUUUAGAAUUUAUGGUGAGGAUUUAAGCAUAAGGUUUUUUAGAAAGAAGUGGUUUCCUGCUUUAGGCAUCUUACAUAUUAAAAAUAUAGAUGAAAAAUAAUUGGCAUGCAUUUGCUUUUUCUCUUUAAAAGUGCUAUGUAAAUUCCUCCUAAAUAGAAUAAACCUAUAUCUAUAUAAAUUCUAGUAUCUACAUUUCCUUGAAAAUUGUUAAAAUGAAGCUUUAUUAUACCUGUAGACAGAAGCUUCUAGAAUACUUUCUUCCCAUACUUUAAAAAAAGUUAAACUUUCUUGUUAGGGAACACUGGAAAAUAAAAAUAAUGCAAAAAGGAUGACUAAAGUUAUCCACAGUAACACAUCUAGAGAUGAGUAGAAUCAUGGAGAAUUUUAGAACUGGAACAGACCCGCUGUCACAUACCACUAAGUUACAGGACUUCCCGCUCUCUGGACUUGUGGCUCAGGGUGGUUCCCUGCCUACAUUUGUUAAUUGAUUUAGACCAAAGCUUCAGCAUCAAUUGUCAUCCUUUAUCAUUGUGAGUACUUUUCCACUGUGGCCAUUGAGGGAGGGAAACAAGGUCAAAACACCUUCCUUUGAAAAAGCCAUACUCUUUCUUCCAAGUCCAAAGUCUUUUUUCUUAGUACCCAUUAAUUCUUCAUGUCCAUUAAUCCUGCUUUGUGGAUCCAUCUGUUCUUGUGGUUUCCAUGAUCCAAGGAUCCCUAAACUAUUUUUCAAGCUCAGAUCUCUUUUCCAUAACAAUUUCACAUCUCCAUCUGCCUUUAUGAGAUUUCUUUUUUGGAUGUUGUUCUGUUACCUUAGAGUCUUUAUGUUCCAAAGGGAAUUCUGGUUCCUUCUUUCCUGCUCCAGAAAAAAAUGUCAGCUCUCCUGAUUUACCUAUUUGUGUCACCAGCACAUCAUUCUUCUUGUCACUCAUGCUGUCGAUCAACUCCUUGUCUCCUCUCUGAUCUGUAACCAAGGCCAAUUCUUUCAUGAAAGCAUCUGUGCUCUUACCAUCUUUAUUUCUUAGCCUCUUGUGCCUACAUCAUUGCAGUAGUCCCAUGCGUGGCUCCCUGCCUUGAGUCUCUCUCCUUCAGGCCUCACUUCCACGGGCUGCAGAAUUAACCUUGCUGAAGACACGGCUCCAUCAUUUUCUUGUUUGGGGCUUCCUAUCAUCAAAAGUUUAAAAUCCACAGCCCUUGUCCUGGUCCCUCGCCCUUCCAUAAUGGGCCAUCCAUCCUUCAGCCUCAUCUUCCAAUGAUAAAAAAAAACAAAACUCUAAAGUUAUCCUAUGUCUGGUCCUCUGAAUUCUCUUCCUCUGUCUCUCAUCUUCCUCUUCAAGCCUUACUUGAGAUGCUAAUAUUUCCUCUCUAAAACCUUUUCUGAUCAGCCUACAGAUACUUCUCCAUUGCUUGGACUUCAGAAGCAUUUCCUGUCCCAAGUAUGUGGCUGCUAACUCUAUAGUAAUAAGGUAGCAGCUGCUUCCUAUUGAGCUGAGCCCCUGCUAUGUGUCCAGCACUGCUCGCAGCUGUUCUUAAAUCAUUUGUUCAUCUCACAAUCGGAUGAAGUAAGUACAGUUGUCAUCUCCAUGUCCCAGGUGAGAAAGCAGGCAUGGAUGGUUUAGUAACUUACCCAAGGUCACGGGAGUAGAACUGGGAUUUGGUCCAAACUGUCUGGCUCCGAAUCUGCUCGUUAGUGUGCCCAUUCCUGCCUUUCAGGGUGUCCUGCCUCUGAUUGCUGCUCCACUCUCUCUGUUUGGGUGUGAACAUUUUUAGAUGUGUUGCCUUCCCAGUUAAAGUGUGUGCCCCAUGGAGGCGGGGCCCGCCGUAUAUAUUCACACUCCAGAGGCCUUGCAGAAGGCUGUGUGCUUCAAUAAAUGUUGAAUAUUUGAGUUGGAUGGUUUAGGGAGCCUUUUUUUUUUUUAUUUCUGAGAUGAUACAGAUAAUGAAAUUCUGCUAAUUUUCAUUAGUUGGGAAGAUAGCCUCAAAAUCAGUCUUGACUAAGUCGUGACCAUAUGAAAGGUAAAAAUCAAGUGGUCAGCCAAUGGGCUCAGUGGAGUCUUUCAUUUUACACAUUUCACAUUUCAAAGUCUGAGAAGUAAUGAGGACUUAUGAGCCUUCCUUCCCCUUCCCUGUUCUUUGUAGGGGGUGGAAAGUGAACUUGGGUAAGGCCUGCGUGUCAGCAAAUAAGAAUUAACCAGGCUUGGCCUACCGGGGGCAGCUGAAUGACCAUCACUGAAAAUGCAAUUACUCCUUUACAAUUUUUUUCUUUCUUUUGAAGCCAAGUUUGAAUUGUGGGAGGAAAGAUUUGAUAAAAUUUUUCCGUGUUCUCAAGGGGCUCUCGCUGGCAGACUGUCCAAGGAGAAUUAGGAGAAUUCCACAGAAAUGCCUGUGUAUCAGGAAGAGGCGAACAGCCAGAGGUAUGACAGAGAAGAUGUGUCUUUUAUCCCACUGCAUAUCACACAUUUAUGUAAAGCUGUGGCAAGACUUGUAGCUUUUGAUUUUCUUCUUUUUCCUAGAAUGAAACAUCUUCAGAAGCUUUUCUUUCAUAAGAGGCAUUCACUUUUAAAAAGCGGAUAUGGGUCUCAAAUUAUGCUAAGUGUUUAAUACAUUUUCUGGUAUGUUUCAAGUACUUUGAAGUGCAAAGAAGUAUUUGUACUUAUUCUGUGAUUAUUUACUGGCCUGCAUAAAAUUUACCUUUUGCAAAGCUCUUGGAGACACACAUACACCUUUAAAGAAAUAAAUGAUCACUUACUUUGGAUUAUGAACUUGACUUACUGGGCACACUGUUGGGUGUGAAAAAGAACACAGGCCUGGUUCCUGCCCUGGGGGCAUUUACCCUCUAGUUAUGAAGGCCAGAUUGGGGCUGAGGCCUACCUCCUUCAGCUGCACACCUUUCAGACAACACAGCUCCCUUGAUACUAAUCAGCCUUUGUUUAUGCUCUGUUGAGGCUAGGUUUUAUUCCCACAGUCUUUUAUCUAUCUUGACCUGGGCGGUAAUUGCCCCCAAGGCUACCAGUUGUGGUUUGCAAAUCAUGCCCUCGACACUUUGUGAGGUUGCACAGUACCCAGCCUACACAUAGCUCAUGACGGCCCUGAUCACUGUGUCCAGACAAAUGUUGCAGGUUGUCAAUCUUAUCUCGUCUAUGUUGGUAUCACUGGCUUCAUGCUCAGAAUUCUAGAGGUUACCUAACUUUCAUCCCCAUGUACUAUUCCUGUAAGAUCCAUGUUAAGGAAAAACAAAAAGAAUUAAUUUUUAGUACAAGAUAGUAAUAAAUUACAGAUUAGAUGAUAUGGAAAAUGUAUUCUCAGUCUUCAGAGGUUGAGCCAUUAUAGUGGAAACACAUUCUAAAAGUAAGAACAUUUGGCUUCUACUACUGGUUCAGUUACUUGUUAAUAUUAUGACCCUCAGUGGAUAAUUUAACUUCUUGGGAGACUGUAAGAAGGGGAAAUAACACCUGGCUUCUCUGCUUCCCUGGGUGGUGAGGAAGGUUACAGAGUAUCCAAGACAGUAGGUGGUAACACGUGUGUAAGGCCCAGUCUUCAUCAUGAACAAAGUGUUGUAGUGCUCUGGGAAGAGAGUCCUGAGCUGGGAGUGAAUUUGGAAUUUUCUUGUACAUUAGGUUGAAGGCAGGAGCCAGAUUUUGUAACCUUCUUAACCUCAAGCACUUAACACACAGUUAUGAACUCCAUGCUUUUGAAGUGAAUGAAAAAAAUGAGAUGAAACUCACAAAUCUAGAGAAAAAUGGACCAUAAAUUGAUUUAAGCUCUCAAAUUUUCCAAAUCAACAAAUAUGUUCUUAAAAUGCUUAAGAUGUAUUUAUACAUUUAUAUCUUAAAAUGUGCCAGGCAUAAAGAUAGGCACUGAAUAGACAGCGAUGAACAUAGUGGUCUUUGCCUUUAGGGAGCGUAAUGCGAUGUGGGGGCAGGAAGACUUUGAAAAUGUGAUUCAAAAAUGUGUUGAGUAUUAUAAGGAGAUAUCUAGGUGCAUAACUAAGAGUCUGACAAUUGCUAUUUUAAGACAAUUUAAAUAUGUUAAAAUACAUAUUCACAAAACUUAGCUCUAAAAGGAGUUUGUAGAUCAAAAAUUGGCAGUUGGUUUGAUAUGCCAGAUUCUUCUUAUCUUCUAUAUAAGAGACUUAGGUAUAGAUUCUUUGAGAGUGUAUUUAAAGAGGCCUAGUGCAUGGUAUACAAAGGACAGAUUUUCCCAGAGAACAUCUAGAGGCAUGAUACACUUAAACUUAUUUUUGAAUAAUAUCUUAAAGCAUUUAUUGAACAUUUGCUAAGUGCAAGGAGAUACCAGACCCUGACUUCAGAAAUGCCCUGUAUAUGGUAUGGUCUGCUAGACACAUGGAGCUAUUAUGUAUUUGAAAAACAGCAAGUCCAAAUUGAUAUGCACUAUAAAUGUAAAACAUACUCUGGAUUUUGAAGACUUAAUAGGAAAAAAAAAAAGAAUGGAAAAUAUCUUAUUAGUAAUUUUUUAUACUGAUUACAUGUUGAAAUACUAUUUUGGAUACAUUAAAUAUAAGAUAAAUUUUGUCUGUUUCUUUUAACUUUUUACUAUGUGGCUACUAGAAAAUUUAAAAAUAUGUGUGUGACACAUUUGUGUCUUAUGUUGUUUCUACUGGCAGUGCUUGUUUAAAAGUUAGUACAACAGGGAAGCAAAUCAUUAGAAGUUGAGGGGACAAGUGUUCUAAGGGGCUUGAGUAUGAAGUGGAGAUGAGGGAGGUUAGGGAGCAGCCAUGUUGAUGGUGCUCAGGAAGGUAUUCAGGGGAAGGGAAGGCAGACCAGGAAGAGAGAGUCGCUUGCAUAAGGCAGAGAAACUGGUGACUUUACAGAAGCAUCUACCUUUAAGGGGGAAAGAGAUGAAGAGGUUAGCUGAAGCAGCAAGAAACCAUAAACACUGCUUUCAUAGUUUCCCAUGAUAUAAUUAAUAUGUACAUAACCUUUUCAAUAACUUAUAUUUGUCUUGCAAUCUGAAUGAGGAGUAUUUUUCUUACAAAAAUUAUGCAAAUGUCAUAACUAUUAUCUCAGGUACCACUAGGUGGCACUGUGCCCUAGGAUUGAAAAGCAGGCUGGGGGUGUGGGGAGGAAGUGGCAAUUUCUUUGCUCCUCAGUGGCCUCAAUUUUUCAAAAUAGUACUUCUAUCAUCUCUGAGCAUACAAACCCAAUAUGUAUGUCUGUUUAUUAUAAUUUAUAUAUGCAGUACUGCAUUGAUAUAUUAUGUCAAUUAUAAGAUACGCAUUUGGAAAAAAUGAAAUAUAAAAUUCUCUGAUGAAAUUAAAUUGAAAUUCUAAUUUUUUUCUGCACUCUAGUAAAUUCUUUGUGUGUGCAUAUCUCUGAGAUGUGUGCACCUGACUUUGAAGAACACUGGUCUGUUUCAUGAUUUUUAUUCUAAAGAUGGAAAUAACACCAAAAAAAAAAAUCUAAAAGCAUUCUACUACACAUGGGUAUUAAAAUAUGCAUAGCAGUUACAUGUCAGUCCUUUUAAAGAACUGAAACUUAAAGACUAAGAUGAAAAAGGCCAAGACUUAGAGAGCUUCACGGUUUUCCAUUUUAAACCUGAUUAGGUCUAAUGUAUCAGAAAUGCAAAUGAAUUACAAUAGCAGACCAAGUACUAUGCAAUUUUUUUUUCUGCUAGAUAUUUUGUUGUUUAAAAAUCAGAAGGUUAAAAACUUUAAAAAGUAAUAACUAAAGAAACAAAACAAAGAAUGGGUAUAAAUGAUAUCAAUAGGUGAGUGGUGGUACCCUACGACAAACAGAUAUGUAGACUUGAGUUAAAAAACAAUCAAACCCUGAAACAUUCUGACUUUAUUAGAGAAAGACAAUUGCGUUUUUGCCUUGAUUUCAUAGAUUGUCGCUGUAGAAAGUUUUUUUUUUUAAUAGAAUAGACUUUUGCGUUUCAGAAAACAGGUGAUCCUGGUGGGUCAGGUGAUCCUGGUUGGUCAGUGAUCCUCAUGGGCGCAGGCACAGGCUGGCACACCGAGAGGUAAAACUCACCCCUAUGACUUGGGCAUGGGGAUCAGAUUUCAGAGAAUAAGGAUUAUGAGGCAGGCAGAGACCCCGGUAGGCACAUCUAGAGAACUUCUGUAAUUACAUGUGUACAAUGUUUUAGAUCAUUUUUGUAAGAUGUGUAUAGUGUGGUAUUGACAAGAAAGCUAGUUUGGAAGUUAGUAACAUCUGGAACCACUCGUCUAAGCAGUUUAUUCAUCUGUCUGAACCCUCUGCAAUUCAAACACAGAACAGGGUUCUUUUUCUCUAAGCACUAACUCUAAUCAUGCUCUCAAACCUCACAUGCUGCCUUUUUAUGAUUUUCUGGACAGGUGUAAUAACUUUGCAGACAUUUUUAGGGCAUUUAAAAGCCUCCGUUCAGUACAAUUUAAAUUUUAGUUUCAUAUCUGAUCUCAUGUUUCUGAUAAAUGGAUUAAUGUUUGUGGGUAAAAUUGUAAUAUUUUUAGAAUCUCUUGCCUGGCAUUAAUACAUCUCCAAAUCAUUAGGCGUUUCCAAGGGGUGGAGAGAAAUAGUCCAUCUCCGUAUCAAUAAGUGAUUACAAGGCAGGUGGGGAGCUAGGGCACACCUGUAUGGGAGAGGUUGGGUGGGGUCCUUUUGCAGAGGGGUCUCGAGAGACAGGGGUGAGCAGAAGUAGAUGACUGCUUGUACACAAUAAACAGUUUCUCCCACUUUAUUUGUCCCUAUGACUGAUUUUGGUUUCAAAGGUUACUGGCCCUGGGCUGGGAACAUAUUGCCCCCCCCACCCCAACCCCUGCAGUUACAAUGUUUCAUAAUCCAGUCUAAUGGCCAGGGUGGUUGGUGUCCAGGGUCUUGGAGAAGGGGUGUGUGUGUGUGACUGCCUCCUGAUGCCUCCUUCCUCCUGCUUUUAGGUCUCUGGGUCCUCUUCUGAGUUGGAGGCUUAGAGGAGGGAGGUGGGAAGGGGGGCCUUUUUAAAUGAGGGCUCCUGCAGUCUGCUCUGGUGGUGGGCACUGCUCUCUGCAUGACAGUUACGCAAAGACGAGCUCUCUCUUCGGAUGCCUCUGGAAGCAUCUCUGAGGGCCCAGGCCUCCCGCUGCCCUGUUCCCCAUCAGAGAUCUGACUUCACCUCUUGCUCCCCUGACCCCUUCACUCUCAUUCCCAGAGGCUCACCUCACAGUCCCCUUGCCCUUUUGGCAGCUGUCUUGGGUGGAGAACCAGCAGGAAUGCUCAGCUCAGCUGUCUCCCGUGGGGUGCACUUGGCCCACAGGAAACCCAACAUCCAUGCUUAGCCAGCCACUCAUCUCUUUCCCAUCUGCCAUUUCUGUCCAAUUUAUUUUUUCCUGUCUAGGUGGUUGCAGGAUAGCUAAACAGACAUACAACCAUGAGAGGUGCCAGCUCCCCUUCCUAAGGCACCCACGAUUUCCACCAAGGAUUCUCUUUAAACCUCCCUCACUUGAGUUCAUUCAGGAGAAGAAACUACUUUCUUCUUCCUUCCAAGUAGGCAACUAAGUUGGUAAGUAGCAAUAAUUUCUUGUUUAAAAGUCCUUGUAUUAAUUACUUGCCUAUUAAUUGAAGCACAGUUUUGAAAGCCUUUUGCAGUUCACCUUUGGAAUGCAUUUUCUCUUUGCUUUGGUCCUUGGAAGUCUCUGAGUUGUUGAAUUUAUGACGCUCCUUGCUAGCACUUUACCGAGUGAGUCAGGGGUUCAGUCUGUAUUCACUGAGUCCAGAGGAAGUCAACACCUCCAUGGCUUAGGGGGUUGGGUUCUGCCAUAAUGAGGUGAGUGGAGGACCAUACAUAAUUUCUUUUUAUUUAAAAUUUAGGAAAUUAUAAAAGGGACCUAAUGAGUUAAUUUUUGCCCCACAGGAAGGCACCAUGUCAGAACCUGGAUCACGUGAUUCUACUGAUAACUCAACUCUGAAGGAUGCUUCAUUCCAGAAAUUGUAUCAUGUAAUAAGAGUGAAUUACAUGUAUAAAAGAGAAAUGGCUUCUUGGUGCUGCAAUGUUUGACUGCCUUUGUUGUCUGCAAUUCCUCAGAUAUGUUAGAUUAAGUCGACAUAAAGAGCUGUAGUUUUCUGAUGAGGACAUAGUCACCAUGUCAACUUCUCUUGCCUAAGUGCCAUUUUGAAGAUCAAGUUCUUGAAUUUCCCAGACUUUGGAUUAAGGAAAAACUCAAUUUCAGACAUAUCUUUCAUGGACUUCUACAAUAUAGCUUCUUAACUGAUUGUCCUGUAAUCACUCUUUGCUUUGAACUGUGCCUGUUGAUGGCCUGGUUAAGCCUGGAACAUUGGUCAGGAGAGAAUCUAGUGGAAAUACAGAAAUGGAAGCCUACCAGAUUCAGAGACAAACAGAUGCAGAAGAAUGAAUAGAUGUCUGGUGGGUGCUAGCUUGGCCUCACUGUCCUCACAUGCUGGCCCUCUCAUCUUCCUGGCCACUGGACCUGCUGACCAGCUGUGGCCCCUGGCCCACCAUCAGAUAUUUGACUCCAGAUGUGCAGAGCAGUGACUGCCAGAGGCCACUGCGCUCCUAAGACCCCACGGUUCCUCUCACAGCCCUGCUUCAGAGGCUGGCUGUGCUUGGCCUCUCAGCUCUUUCUGCAAGCUUUGCCUUUUCCACUGGAGUCAGUGCUUCCUGAGAGCUGGUUAAUGGCUCUGCUGUCCUCAGACUCUCUCUCCUAGACCUUUCCUUUCCCUAAUUCCCGCACAGUUGCAUAAACUCCAAUUCCUAUAGUACACCCUUAUUCCCAUUACAUGCAUAAUGGCUCUGCUUCUCCAACUAAAGCCAGCCUGAUACACUCCUGGGCUCAUCCAUUCCCUUUCCCAGGACGAAAUUCUUAUAGUGAAGAUGAACAUGUAGUGACUGAGCCCUCCCUUUCCCUGUUAAUCCUUGAUCCUCAUCAACUCUCUUUCAAAACUUCCACUUUGCACAAUUUUGAACUCUCUCUGGGUCCUGUCUGCUGUGGGCCUGGUUUGGCCACACCUGUAUACACACCUGUAUACUUCUGAGUGUGAGGCCUCUGCCCUGACACACUCUAACACAGCAGACUAGAGUUGAGGGUAGAGCAGAUCUUAAUUCAAAUUCUUGUUUUGCCCCUUUCUGUCUGGGACCUUGGGCAAGUCAUUGACAUUUGCAGGUACAGAUUCCUUACUGGCGAAAGCUGCCUUAUGGAGCUGGUGUGAGAAGUCAAUGCAAAGCUGUCCACAAGUUCACUUGCAUCCUCCUCUUCUUUGUUUUGUCACCAGCUCUCUACUGCCCUCCAAGAAGAAGAAGGAUGUGGCCUCAGUUUCUAGGCAUUUCAUUGCCUCUAGCACCAUGAUCCCAGUGGGAAGGGCCAUGUGUGAGCUGUGGGCUGAAGCACUGAGUGCUGGACAUAGGGGCAUCUCGAUUCAGAGGUGAAGGAAUACUCGACUGUUCAAUGUGGGUGAUUUUGCCUGUGAGUGAUGAUAUGAAGCCACAUUUAUAAAUAUUGUUGACAUUGAUGCUGAUUACAGAUUUGAAGAAUGGGUGAAAUGAGAGAUGUUUUAAAAAGGGACUUGACAAUAAAAGCAAUACUGAUUAUAGAUGCUUAUAUCCAUGGCUUAUUAUUUAUGCCUAAUAAUUAGCAUGCCACACAAUGGCAAUGAUGUGAGUUGUUAAAUAGAACACAGCACUAGCUCGUUUCGUUCAGUUGCAGCAAAGUUCUUUCCAUGAAUACUUGGCUAUUAAAGUUUGUGGUUGAGAUAGCAUUACUGAUCUGUAGUGAUCCUUUUUUACAUUUUAUCCCAUAAACAGUACUAUGGGACAGUUGUUUCCAUUUUUCUGGUAAGAAACUAAUGCUCAGGGACUAUAAAUAAAUGCUGACAUCGUAAAGAUAUAAAGUGGACUGAAAUAAUACUCCAUUCCAAGCCCUUAUUUGCACCUAAGAAGCAAAGCUGAUCUGUUUGAAGAUGUUUAGUGACACACAAAUAUGCCUUAAUUAACAGCAUGAAAAUGCGAAGAGAGAUGGAUUUGCCUCAUUAGUAUUUGCAGUCUAAGUGACUGCUCACUUGCCACUGGGGUCUGAUUUCCUCAGAUGUCUUUGUCUUUCGACAUUUAUGUACACCUGCACUUUGAAAUCUGUAGGC